rnacentral:rRNA from 1 species
GAUGAACGCUGGCGGCGUGCUUAACACAUGCAAGUCGAACGAUGAAGCCCCGCUUGCAGGGCGGUUUAGUGGCGAACGGGUGAGUAACACGUGAGUAAACUGCACUUAACCCUGGGAUAAGCCUGGGAAACUGGGUCUAAUACCGGUUAGGCGCGUCCACAGCAAGGUGGGUGUUGGUAUGAUUGAGCGUUCUUGGAUGGGCUCUCGGCCUACCACCUUGUUGGUGAGGUAUUGGCUCAGCAAGGCGCCGACGGGAAGACGGACUGAGAGGGCGACCGGCCACACUGGGACUGAGAUACGGCCCAGACUCGUACGGGAGACAGCGGAGUGGAAUAUUGCACGAUGCGCGCAAGCCGGAUGCAGGAUCACCGCGUGCGGGAUGACGGCCUUCGGUUAGUAGGCCUCAUUCAGUAGUGAUGAUGCGAAAGUGACGGUACCUUCAGAAGAAGCACCGGCUGACUACGUG